rnacentral:rRNA from 1 species
AUUGAACGCUGGCGGCAUGCUUUACACAUGCAAGUCGAACGGCAGCACGGGAGCUUGCUCCUGGUGGCGAGUGGCGAACGGGUGAGUAAUGCAUCGGAACGUACCCAGUAGUGGGGGAUAGCCCGGCGAAAGCCGGAUUAAUACCGCAUAUUUCCUGAGGGAGAAAGCGGGGGACCUUCGGGCCUCGCGCUACUGGAGCGGCUGAUGUCGGAUUAGCUAGUUGGUGAGGUAAAGGCUCACCAAGGCGACGAUCCGUAGCUGGUCUGAGAGGAUGAUCAGCCACACUGGGACUGAGACACGGCCCAGACUCCUACGGGAGGCAGCAGUGGGGAAUUUUGGACAAUGGGGGCAACCCUGAUCCAGCCAUGCCGCGUGAGUGAAGAAGGCCUCGGUUGU